rnacentral:lncRNA from 1 species
CUUCAGAUCUGUUUUGUCAGCAUCAUGGAAAAGCACGCAAGUCUCCAACUUCCCCUUCACCGUCCCAACAUGGCAGAGAAAAAGCUUACCAUGAGGAAAAAAGAUAAGAGAAAAUCAAGAAAUUCUGGGUCAUUUUUAUUUAUUUUUUAAGCCAAAAUCGAUUGGUUUAUGUAGCCAUAGAGUGUCCGCAUUUCUCGCUUGCAUGAAGGGGGACUUUGCAGAAACUGGAUUCUGCCAUCAACCAUCACAAUGGAAUGCUAUAAAAGUGUUUAUUCCAAAACACAAGAAAGUGUGUUUUUCGAAUACUUAAACUAAAAGAAGGAGGGAUUAUCCUAACCUAACUUCAACUUGGUGAGUAAACAAAGAUGUUGCCACGUCUUUCUAAAUAGUGUAAGAUGCAUCAGAACUUUGUUCAUACUCUUCUUCUUCUUUUUUUCCUGGAUUGAUAUAUUUUUAAGCUCAGUUGGUUCUGCAACAUCAUGACCGUCCCAGAGGAUAGAAACUUUAAAUUGAUCCAAUCAGCCAAGAUCACCGAGAAAAAAAAGAAGAGAAAAGGAAAGAAAAAACAGAAACAAGGGAUUAAAGGAUCGUCCUCAACUAUUCCAGAAAAUAAAGAUAAACGAUUGUCCUCUGAGAUCUCGCCGCUCCUGUGUCCUCAGGAACAAACGCAGAUCCAAGAGCAGCUUCCCAAGCCCAAAGCGAGCAAAAAGAAAAAUGCCAAACCGGGCUCUGGCCGCAGCCAGAAAAGCAAAACACAUCAAAAAGAUUCACAGGCUAUGGUUGAAUUGACUGAUGACACCAGCAGCAGCAGAGCCAUGGCGCAUGAGACUGGGCUUGGUAGGCAGGCUAGAGAGAGUCUGAGGUGGGAAGGAGUUCUACAAGACCCCCAAGAGGAGGCCGAGAGGCUGGAGCAGUACAGAGCCAACAGGCGGCAGCGUUACAUCGCACACAGAGAGGCUCUAUUAAAAAACACCCAGCAAGCCUCAAGAGAAGCUUUAAUUUAA